rnacentral:sRNA from 1 species
UCCCCGGAUCGUAAGCCGGUAACGUGGGGAUAGAGGGCUCCCACCGCUGAGCAACAGGAGGUUCGAUUCCUCAACACAGCCCCAAAACUGCUCCAGGCAGUUCAGCUAGGCUAGGCUUGAGAGGUAGUAGCCCG